CUUCCACUAGCAGUGGAAGGAUGUUCUAUUUCAUUUUUGGUUAGCUGGGAGCAUCUGUAUGUCAUAUUCUGCUUCUAAACUCUGUGACCUUCAUCGAUGUCUUCCUCCACCUUCUCUGGGCAGCAUACUUUUUUAGUGUAGUCUGGAAGAAGAGAUUCAGGGAAAAGGAAAAAAAAACUGGAUGAGUGAAAUUACAUUUCCAAAAGUAAUUCCAUUUUUUUCCACGUCACCCCUAAAAUAUCAUGGCACUUUAUAACAUCAAGGUCAGUCAGCAUGGAUUGACAAGCCCCCUGGACUUUGGAUGACUUCUCUGAAGCCCCAGCUGUGCCUGGCUGGGCCAUCUCCCUUCUCCACUUGGCCACAGCAUAAUCUGCAGUCAAGCCACAAGAGUGACCUCAAUGCCUCAGGCCACUUUUCCAGGCUCAGCUUUUCUUAUGGGCCCAGCCCACUUACAACAGAAAUUUGCCGAAGAUUGGGUUGAUUGUAAAGAUCUGGACUUUCUGCUCAUCUGGAAACAAUCAACUCAGAUGCUCCUGGAACAUGCUGAGAGACUCCUGCAGGUCACUGAGACAAGGGGUGGUGAAAUAUUUAACAGCACAGGCUCUGACUCAUCAGAAUGAAGGCUGGCACAAACCACCAAGAUGGUGGCACUGGUGUGUCCCAGCUGAACCAGGUAUGCCACGGCCCCCCCUGAGAUAGUGAGGAUGUCCUGGGCCAAACAGGAGAAAUCUGAGUCAACUGCCUUGAACAAGAAGGGAUUUACUCUCUCAGAUAAGAAGCCUGAACAUAGGGUCACUCCACGUUAGUGACCAGGACUCAACUGCAUGAUGGAGGACCCAGGCUCUGUUCCUAGGAACUGGCUGUCUUCAGGCUGUCCUCCCAUGAUAGCCUCCUGACAGUUCCUGAGACAGAAUACAAGAACGUGUGCUCGUUUUUAUCAGAAAGAGAAACUUUACCCUGCAGCCCCAACAGAUCUCAUCUGACAUACUGUUGGUCAGAGUUUAGCCACAGGACUGUGCCUAAACCAAUCACCAGCAAGGAGAAUGCAACCUCCAUGUUAGAUUUUACCAAUCAGAAUUUACUCAAGUCAGGAGGAAGAGGAAUGGACACUGGAACAAAAUCAAGGCUCUCUCAGCCUGAAGGAAGAGGGUUUUGGCCACUGAUAACCAAAGACAUCUGCCAUAUCACUCUUCAUAAACAGGAGAGAGACUCUGCCACCGCAUCUAAAUAAACCUUGUACUUAUUCAAAUUUUAGAUGAAAAACAAACAUCACCAAACAAAUCAUAUUCACCUGUAAAUAAAACUGAAUAUGAUCCAAAUACAGGCUGGCCUUUGGGUGAAAAACCUCUGCAUUUAUCAGAAGUUGUCCAGCUCCAUACCCCCCAAAUCCUGAAAAUUAUUCCAUCACUUGAGCCUCCAGGGUAAUUGCUUAUGAUUUGAGACAAGAUAAACAUACAUUUCUUCAAAGAAAGGCCUACUUCUACCAGCUAUAAAGGCAUACAAACAAAAUUCUCAGUG
rnacentral:lncRNA from 10 species